AUUGAACGCUGGCGGAAUGCUUUACACAUGCAAGUCGAGCGGCAGCGCGGGGCAACCUGGCGGCGAGCGGCGGACGGGUGAGUAAUGCAUCGGAACAUGUCCAUGUCGUGGGGGAUAGCCCGGCGAAAGCCGGAUUAAUACAGCAUACGCUCGAGAGAGGAAAGCCGGGGACCGCAAGGCCUGGCGCGAUUGGGUUGGCCGAUGUCCGAUUAGCUAGUUGGUGAGGUAAAGGCUUACCAAGGCGAUGGUCGGUAGCUGGUCUGAGAGGAUGAUAAGCCACACUGGGACUGGGACACGGCCCAGACUCCUACGGGAGGCAGCAGUGGGGAAUUUUGGACAAUGGGGGCAACCCUGAUCCAGCCAUUCCGCGUGAGUGAAGAAGGCCGUCGGGUUGUAAAGCUCUUUUGUCCGGAGCGAAACGGGCGCGGCUAAUACCUGCGUCUACUGACGGUACCGGAACAAUAAGCACCGGCUAACUACGUGCCAGCCGCCGCCGUAA
rnacentral:rRNA from 1 species